rnacentral:rRNA from 1 species
GACGAACGCUGGCGGCGUGCUUAACACAUGCAAGUCGAACGGAAAGGCCCUGCUUUUGUGGGAUGCUCGAGUGGCGAACGGGUGAGUAACACGUGAGUAACCUGCCCUUGACUUUGGGAUAACUUCAGGAAACUGGGGCUAAUACCGGAUAGGAGCUCCUGCUGCAUGGUGGGGGUUGGAAAGUUUCGGCGGUUGGGGAUGGACUCGCGGCUUAUCAGCUUGUUGGUGGGGUAGUGGCUUACCAAGGCUUUGACGGGUAGCCGGCCUGAGAGGGUGACCGGCCACAUUGGGACGGAGAUACGGCCCAGACUCCUACGGGAGGCAGCAGUGGGGAAUAUUGCACAAUGGGCGGAAGCCUGAUGCAGCAACGCCGCGUGCGGGAUGACGGCCUUCGGGUUGUAAACCGCUUUCGCCUGUGACGAAGCGUGAGUGACGGUAAUGGGUAAAGAAGCACCGGCUAACUACGUG